UUCAGUUUUUUCAUUUCUUCUUGCUAGAACGCCAAGCCCGAGUGACCAGUAGUAUUCCAGACCUCAGGAUUCUAUUUUCCAGCUUUUCAAAAUGAGAGGAUUGAUUGUCGUCGUGGUUUUGGUCACACUGAUGAUUUCAACUGAUGCGUUCCUGAUGCACAGCAGACAACGUUGCCUCUGUCUGAAAACAUUGGACUGUGUGAAUCCCAGAAACAUAAUCCAAUGCACUGUUCAUCAGAGAAGUCCAAUGUGUGACCACGUAGAGAUAGUGCUGAAGUUGAAAAGGCCAUUAAUAAACGUCUGCCUGAAUCCAUACUCUGUAAUGGGCAAGAGAAUACAGACCAAGUGGAACCUGAAGAACUGACCCAAACAUAGCACAAACUAUGUAAUGAUGAUGUAACUGACUGUACUGACCAAAAAGUAUAUGUAAAUGUAACUAUGUUGUUUUUCUCUGCAGUUUCAGGCACUUUACUUAUUCUACUGACAGUGAAAUUAUAAAGGACCGUGUAUUUCAGAGCUACAGGGUAAUGCCUAAAGCUUGUAACAACAUUCUAGAACAUCUCUGGUAUGACAAGCCUGUAACAACAUUCUAGAACAUCUCUGGUAUGACAAGCCUGUAACAACAUUCUAGAACAUCUCUGGUAUGACAAGCCUGUAACAACAUUCUAGAACAUCUCUAAGCCUGUAACAACAUUCUAGAACAUCUCUGGUAUGACAAGCCUGUAACAACAUUCUAGAACAUCUCUAAGCCUGUAACAACAUUCUAGAACAUCUCUGGUAUGACAAGCCUGUAACAACAUUCUAGAACAUCUCUAAGCCUGUAACAACAUCCUAGAACAUCUCUGGUAAGACCUGAUAAAUGAAUAUCUUUCAACAGAUACUAUAAGACUUCCUCCAUGUACAGGUUUCACCAGGGGAACGGAUCUCCCAAUCAGGUGCUCUGAUGUGGAACAAACUGAAUACAAAAGGCAGACAAACCAUAUAAAACUGGAUUUGUUUGCAGCAGCCUUGCCUUAAAGGUCAUUGGUUAGCUUUUGGGA